GGGUUGUGAGGUUAAGCGACUAAGCGUACACGGUGGAUGCCCUGGCAGUCAGAGGCGAUGAAGGACGUGCUAAUCUGCGAUAAGCGUCGGUAAGGUGAUAUGAACCAUUAUAACCGGCGAUUUCCGAAUGGGGAAACCCAGUGUGAUUCGUCACACUAUCAUUAACUGAAUCCAUAGGUUAAUGAGGCGAACCGGGGGAACUGAAACAUCUAAGUACCCCGAGGAAAAGAAAUCAACCGAGAUUCCCCCAGUAGCGGCGAGCGAACGGGGAGCAGCCCAGAGCCUGAAUCAGUGUGUGUGUUAGUGGAAGCGUCUGGAAAGGCGUGCGAUACAGGGUGACAGCCCCGUACACAAAAAUGCACAUAUUGUGAGCUCGAUGAGUAGGGCGGGACACGUGGUAUCCUGUCUGAAUAUGGGGGGACCAUCCUCCAAGGCUAAAUACUCCUGACUGACCGAUAGUGAACCAGUACCGUGAGGGAAAGGCGAAAAGAACCCCGGCGAGGGGAGUGAAAAAGAACCUGAAACCGUGUACGUACAAGCAGUGGGAGCACGCUUAGGCGUGUGACUGCGUACCUUUUGUAUAAUGGGUCAGCGACUUAUAUUCUGUAGCAAGGUUAACCGAAUAGGGGAGCCGAAGGGAAACCGAGUCUUAACUGGGCGUUAAGUUGCAGGGUAUAGACCCGAAACCCGGUGAUCUAGCCAUGGGCAGGUUGAAGGUUGGGUAACACUAACUGGAGGACCGAACCGACUAAUGUUGAAAAAUUAGCGGAUGACUUGUGGCUGGGGGUGAAAGGCCAAUCAAACCGGGAGAUAGCUGGUUCUCCCCGAAAGCUAUUUAGGUAGCGCCUCGUGAAUUCAUCUCCGGGGGUAGAGCACUGUUUCGGCAAGGGGGUCAUCCCGACUUACCAACCCGAUGCAAACUGCGAAUACCGGAGAAUGUUAUCACGGGAGACACACGGCGGGUGCUAACGUCCGUCGUGAAGAGGGAAACAACCCAGACCGCCAGCUAAGGUCCCAAAGUCAUGGUUAAGUGGGAAACGAUGUGGGAAGGCCCAGACAGCCAGGAUGUUGGCUUAGAAGCAGCCAUCAUUUAAAGAAAGCGUAAUAGCUCACUGGUCGAGUCGGCCUGCGCGGAAGAUGUAACGGGGCUAAACCAUGCACCGAAGCUGCGGCAGCGACGCUGAUGCGUUGUUGGGUAGGGGAGCGUUCUGUAAGCCUGUGAAGGUGUGCUGUGAGGUAUGCUGGAGGUAUCAGAAGUGCGAAUGCUGACAUAAGUAACGAUAAAGCGGGUGAAAAGCCCGCUCGCCGGAAGACCAAGGGUUCCUGUCCAACGUUAAUCGGGGCAGGGUGAGUCGACCCCUAAGGCGAGGCCGAAAGGCGUAGUCGAUGGGAAACAGGUUAAUAUUCCUGUACUUGGUGUUACUGCGAAGGGGGGACGGAGAAGGCUAUGUUGGCCGGGCGACGGUUGUCCCGGUUUAAGCGUGUAGGCUGGUUUUCCAGGCAAAUCCGGAAAACUAAGGCUGAGGCGUGAUGACGAGGCACUACGGUGCUGAAGCAACAAAUGCCCUGCUUCCAGGAAAAGCCUCUAAGCAUCAGGUAACAUCAAAUCGUACCCCAAACCGACACAGGUGGUCAGGUAGAGAAUACCAAGGCGCUUGAGAGAACUCGGGUGAAGGAACUAGGCAAAAUGGUGCCGUAACUUCGGGAGAAGGCACGCUGAUAUGUAGGUGAAGUCCCUCGCGGAUGGAGCUGAAAUCAGUCGAAGAUACCAGCUGGCUGCAACUGUUUAUUAAAAACACAGCACUGUGCAAACACGAAAGUGGACGUAUACGGUGUGACGCCUGCCCGGUGCCGGAAGGUUAAUUGAUGGGGUCAGCGCAAGCGAAGCUCUUGAUCGAAGCCCCGGUAAACGGCGGCCGUAACUAUAACGGUCCUAAGGUAGCGAAAUUCCUUGUCGGGUAAGUUCCGACCUGCACGAAUGGCGUAAUGAUGGCCAGGCUGUCUCCACCCGAGACUCAGUGAAAUUGAACUCGCUGUGAAGAUGCAGUGUACCCGCGGCAAGACGGAAAGACCCCGUGAACCUUUACUAUAGCUUGACAC
rnacentral:rRNA from 1 species